GAUGAACGCCGGCGGUGUGCCUAAUACAUGCAAGUCGUACGCACUGGCCCAACUGAUUGAUGGUGCUUGCACCUGAUUGACGAUGGAUCACCAGUGAGUGGCGGACGGGUGAGUAACACGUAGGUAACCUGCCCCGGAGCGGGGGAUAACAUUUGGAAACAGAUGCUAAUACCGGAUAACAACACUAGACGCAUGUCUAGAGUUUGAAAGAUGGUUCUGCUAUCACUCUUGGAUGGACCUGCGGUGCAUUAGCUAGUUGGUAAGGUAACGGCUUACCAAGGCAAUGAUGCAUAGCCGAGUUGAGAGACUGAUCGGCCACAUUGGGACUGAGACACGGCCCAA
rnacentral:rRNA from 1 species